AUACGGAGGAUCCGAGCGUUAUCCGGAUUUAUUGGGUUUAAAGGGUGCGCAGGCGGCCAUUUAAGUCAGCGGUUAAAUCGUGGGGCUCAACCCCAUUCUGCCGUUGAUACUGGGUGGCUUGAUUGCGGUCGAGGUUGGCGGAAUUCGUUGUGUAGCGGUGAAAUGCAUAGAUAUGACGAAGAACACCGAUUGCGUAGGCAGCUGACCAGACCGCAAAUGACGCUCAUGCACGAAAGUGCGGGGAUCGAACAGGAUUAGAUACCCUGGUAGUCCGCACAGUAAACGAUGAAUACUUGUUUUCGGCGAUAUAAUGUCGGAGGCAAAGCGAAAGCGAUAAGUAUUCCACCUGGGGAGUACGCCGGCAACGG
rnacentral:rRNA from 1 species